AAUGAACGCUGGCGGAAUGCUUUACACAUGCAAGUCGAACGGCAGCACGGGGGCAACCCUGGUGGCGAGUGGCGAACGGGUGAGUAAUACAUCGGAACGUGCCCAAUCGUGGGGGAUAACUACGCGAAAGCGUAGCUAAUACCGCAUACGAUCUACGGAUGAAAGCGGGGGAUCGCAAGACCUCGCGCGAAUGGAGCGGCCGAUGGCAGAUUAGGUAGUUGGUGGGGAAAGGCUCACCAAGCCGUCGAUCUGUAGCUGGUCUGAGAGGACGACCAGCCACACUGGGACUGAGACACGGCCCAGACUCCUACGGGAGGCAGCAGUGGGGAAUCUUGCGCAAUGGGAGCAAUCCUGACGCAGCGACGCCGCGUGUGGGAGGACGCCUCGGGUGGUAAC
rnacentral:rRNA from 1 species